rnacentral:rRNA from 1 species
UACGUAGGGUGCAAGCGUUGUCCGGAAUUAUUGGGCGUAAAGAGCUCGUAGGUGGUUUGUCGCGUCCGCUGUGAAAACCCGAGGCUCAACCUCGGGCCUGCAGUGGGUACGGGCAGACUAGAGUGCGGUAGGGGAGACUGGAAUUCCUGGUGUAGCGGUGGAAUGCGCAGAUAUCAGGAGGAACACCGAUGGCGAAGGCAGGUCUCUGGGCCGCAACUGACACUGAGGAGCGAAAGCAUGGGGAGCGAACAGG